AACGAACGCUGGCGGCAUGCCUAACACAUGCAAGUCGAACGAGACCUUCGGGUCUAGUGGCGCACGGGUGCGUAACGCGUGGGAACCUGCCCUUAGGUUCGGAAUAACUCCCCGAAAGGGGUGCUAAUACCGGAUAAUGUCUUCGGACCAAAGAUUUAUCGCCUUUGGAUGGGCCCGCGUUGGAUUAGCUAGUUGGUAGGGUAAAAGCCUACCAAGGCGACGAUCCAUAGCUGGUCUGAGAGGAUGAUCAGCCACACUGGGACUGAGACACGGCCCAGACUCCUACGGGAGGCAGCAGUGGGGAAUAUUGGACAAUGGGCGGAAGCCUGAUCGAGCAAGGCCGCGUGAGUGAUGAAGGCCGGAGGGUUGUAAAGCUCUUUUACCCGGGAUGAUAAUGACAGUACCGGGAGAAUAAGCUCCGGCUAACUCCGUG
rnacentral:rRNA from 1 species